rnacentral:rRNA from 1 species
UACGUAGGGUGCGAGCGUUAAUCGGAAUUACUGGGCGUAAAGCGUGCGCAGGCGGUUCGUUGUGUCGGUGGUGAAAUCCCCGGGCUUAACCUGGGAAUGGCCAUGGAAACUGGCGAACUGGAGUGCGGCAGAGGGGGGUGGAAUUCCGCGUGUAGCAGUGAAAUGCGUAGAGAUGCGGAGGAACACCGAUGGCGAAGGCAGCCCCCUGGGCUAGCACUGACGCUUAGGCACGAAAGCGUGGGGAGCAAACAGG